GAUGAACGCUGGCGGCGUGCCUAAUACAUGCAAGUCGAGCGAACAGACGAGGAGCUUGCUCCUCUGACGUUAGCGGCGGACGGGUGAGUAACACGUGGAUAACCUACCUAUAAGACUGGGAUAACUUCGGGAAACCGGAGCUAAUACCGGAUAAUAUAUUGAACCGCAUGGUUCAAUAGUGAAAGACGGUUUUGCUGUCACUUAUAGAUGGAUCCGCGCCGCAUUAGCUAGUUGGUAAGGUAACGGCUUACCAAGGCGACGAUGCGUAGCCGACCUGAGAGGGUGAUCGGCCACACAGGAACUGAGACACGGUCCAGACUCCUACGGGAGGCAGCAGUAGGGAAUCUUCCGCAAUGGGCGAAAGCCUGACGGAGCAACGCCGCGUGAGUGAUGAAGGUCUUCGGAUCGUAAAACUCUGUUAGGAGGGAAGAACAAAUGUGUAAGUAACUAUGCACGUCUGGACGGUACCUAAUCAGAAAGCCACGGCUAACUACGU
rnacentral:rRNA from 1 species